CGGGGCCUGUGGAAGGCGGUGGUCCCGGAGUCUGCGGAUGGGGUGUCGAGGGGAGCCGGCAGCCGCGGGCUUGCACCGGCCGAGCGGGCAGCGUUUCCCGGGGAAUUAAGCGUAGCGCCUGCCGUAGUCCGGGUGGGCAUUCAGAGGAGUGAGAUCGCUGGUCACCUAUGUCCUCCCAGCAGCCUGGCGAGGCGAUCGAUCCCUUGGAGAGGAUGUGUGCUGCCUCUGCUCCUACAGGCUCAGUGAAAGCGCCUGGCCGGGCGGGCGUGGCCAACACUACUCCUGCUCCAACUCGCUGGCCGGGAGAGUGACAUCCAAGGGGACUGUGCCCUUGCCCCCAGGCUGUCAGCAUCCUAUCCAGGGGGAGAUUCUGUCCCCUGCACUUGUGCCCGGAGACCCAGCUUAAGAAAGUCAGCGCAGCGAUAAAAGAACAAUCUCCGUUUAUUAAACAUGAUUUUUGUUUCACCACA